UAACCAAUGCAAAUGAAAUCCAGUUCAAACACAUUAUCUUGUCAGUAAUGGAGAAGCCAAGUAAGCCAAUGUGUUACAUUGCAGGUGAAGCUGUGGUAGGAAAAGAUUUGAGGCUGAGAUGCAGAUCCUCAGAAGGUAGUCCCCCUCUAAAGUACAGAUGGUCAAAGACAAGCGGAAACCAAGUGUUGCCUCAGAAUGCUGUUAUUGACACUAUACAAGGCGAUUUGUAUUUGGAUGAAAUCACAGAGAGAGACUCUGGAACCUACCUCUGCAAAGUUGAAAACCUUGUUGGUACAGACAACUGCAAGUUUACACUCAGUGUCACAUCACAGCUGACUUUAAAUUAUGAACACGGUACUAUAGCAGCAGUUGUUGUCAGUGUGGUUGUGGGCAUCAUCAUUGUCAUUGCAGUCAUUUACUACUGCCACCGAAAAAAGAAGGAGGAGCAAUUUGGCAAUGAAAUAUUGGAAGAUACUUUCCCUCCUCAUAAAUUCCGUUGCACAAGUGACAAAGUACAGGCCUGGACUUAUGAAAGCUCCCAGCGCAGUGUACAGGUAAGGAAAUGUUAAGCAACAGUUAAGCAACAUUUUUUUUUUUCAUUUUAAGAGUAUGUUAGUCGUCUAUGCCAAGUUCAAUAACUCAAGAUUAAAUUAGCUGGGUCUUUUAUCAGACUUAUACUGUUAUUGAUGUUGAAGCAGCAGCACCUUUUCUUAACUGAAAUCAUCUCAUUACACUUCACAUGUUUACAAAGUUAUAUCGAUAUAAUGAUUUUCGGUAUCGCUCCAGAAGCGACGUCUGAUCAUGCACGAGGACAUGGACAAAGGGCUGAAGUUUGAGGACAAAGAGUUUGAGUAUGAGGCCUUGAGCAGGAGGACCUUGUUAGUAACAGCCAAUUAUAUCUGAAAAAGUCUGAACUAAACUAAACUAAACACCAAUAAACUUGUGCGGUACAUGUGAACCAAAAUGAGUGAUUUAUUAUACAGUUCAUAGUUUGGCCACCUGAACCUUUUGAAUGUAUUGAUGGUGAAACAUUUUGGUAUUUUUAUUGAGGGAAAAAAAAACCACUUCUGUCUAUGUAUCUUCUUAAAACCAAAAUCUCACGAUUCAUCUUUAGGAGCCGUGUUCCUUGGAGGAAGAAAAGUCAGAGGGGAAUGGGUGCAUUGAGCAUUGUGUGACAACCCAUCAUGAAAAAAAGGAGUUGUACUCUCCUUUAAAAAGGAAGCCGAUUGAAUCCAGGAAGCAUGGUGCCUGUGAUGAAAAGAAGAAACCCAGGGAGGAGGACGUGUCAGAGAUUGAUGUCUGCAAAGCUGAUGGGGAGGGCCAUGUCAAAGAUGAAAUGAGCUGUGGUCCUGGAUUGAACAACAGCUGAGGAAUAUAGAUGCAUUGAACUUUGUGUGAGCACCUGCAGUGGACCAAAGCCCAAAAUAUUGCAGACUGGAUCAGGACAACCAACUGCCACACCCUCGAGGACAAACAGAAUUCAUACUGUUUUUGAUAAAGAAAACAAUGUGUUUGUUGACAGUAC